rnacentral:rRNA from 1 species
UACGUAGGGUGCGAGCGUUAAUCGGAAUUACUGGGCGUAAAGCGUGCGUAGGUGGUUCGUUAAGUCUGCCGUGAAAGCCCCGGGCUCAACCUGGGAAUGGCGGUGGAUACUGGCGGACUAGAGUGCGGUAGAGGGUGGUGGAAUUCCCGGUGUAGCAGUGAAAUGCGUAGAGAUCGGGAGGAACAUCUGUGGCGAAGGCGGCCACCUGGACCAGCACUGACACUGAGGCACGAAAGCGUGGGGAGCAAACAGG